UACAGAGGUCCCGAGCGUUGUUCGGAUUCAUUGGGCGUAAAGGGUGCGUAGGUGGCGCUGUAAGUGGGGUGUGAAAUCCCGGGGCUUAACUCCGGAACUGCAUUCCAUACUGCGGUGCUUGAGGACUGGAGAGGAGACUGGAAUUUACGGUGUAGCAGUGAAAUGCGUAGAGAUCGUAAGGAAGACCAGUGGCGAAGGCGGGUCUCUGGACAGUUCCUGACACUGAGGCACGAAGGCCAGAGGAGCAAACGGG
rnacentral:rRNA from 1 species